ensembl:lncRNA
CAUCUCUUAUGUCUCCUGCACUGGCAGGCAGAUUCUUAACCACUGUGCCAACAAGGAAGUCCUCAAACGCUGAUUGAAGGAUAUUAUGCAAAAUACUUGACCAGGACUCCUCAAAACUGGAAAAGAUCUCAAAAAGCUCGGAGACACAGAAGCAGGCACAGGUCGGAGAACACAAGGAGACACCCCAGAUGGAUGCAGGGUGGCUCCUGGUUGGAUCCUGGAACAGGGAGUGCAUUAAUGGAAAAGCUGGUAAAAUCCAAGUAAGGUCGCUCCUGUGGUUCCUGGUGGCUUGCUGACACUUUUUGGCUCCUCCUGAGAGCU